CCUGCCCCUAGAGUAGAGGUGUUGGAGAUGUGGCUGCUGUGUCACAUGUGUGUCAGUAAGUGGCCGAGAAGAGAGAGGCCAUACCUACACUCGGUGUGCUGACCUGUGGGCAUCUGAAUGAAGAGUAGCCUAGCCUA